rnacentral:rRNA from 1 species
CGGCGGUGUGCCUAAUACAUGCAAGUCGAACGCGUUGGCCCAAUUGAUUGAUAGUGCUUGCACCUGAUUGAUUUUGGUCGCCAACGAGUGGCGGACGGGUGAGUAACACGUAGGUAACCUGCCCAGAAGCGGGGGACAACAUUUGGAAACAGAUGCUAAUACCGCAUAACAACGUUGUUCGCAUGAACAACGCUUAAAAGAUGGCUUCUCGCUAUCACUUCUGGAUGGACCUGCGGUGCAUUAGCUUGUUGGUGGGGUAAUGGCCUACCAAGGCGAUGAUGCAUAGCCGAGUUGAGAGACUGAUCGGCCACAAUGGGACUGAGACACGGCCCAUACUCCUACGGGAGGCAGCAGUAGGGAAUCUUCCACAAUGGGCGCAAGCCUGAUGGAGCAACACCGCGUGAGUGAAGAAGGGUUUCGGCUCGUAAAGCUCUGUUGUUAAAGAAGAACACGUAUGAGAGUAACUGUUCAUACGUUGACGGUAUUUAACCAGAAAGUCACGGCUAACUACGUGCCAGCAGCCGCGGUAAUACGUAGGUGGCAAGCGUUAUCCGGAUUUAUUGGGCGUAAAGAGAGUGCAGGCGGUUUUCUAAGUCUGAUGUGAAAGCCUUCGGCUUAACCGGAGAAGUGCAUCGGAAACUGGAUAACUUGAGUGCAGAAGAGGGUAGUGGAACUCCAUGUGUAGCGGUGGAAUGCGUAGAUAUAUGGAAGAACACCAGUGGCGAAGGCG